GAAUCAAGCGAUAUAAUUUCUUAGUCCGAGAUUACUCUGACGUCCAACGACUGUUUUGUCAGACAAGCUGGGACCGGCCUUAGCAAUAUUCCUGAAAUUCGUUGACUAUAACCGGCAUUUACCUUUUGAUCCCAUCAUCCAUGGGCAUGGCAUUUGCCUUAAAAUAAUGAAAUUGGGUUUGUGUUUUGGGGAAGUGGGUUUUGAAGUUCUAUAAUCGAU
rnacentral:lncRNA from 1 species